rnacentral:rRNA from 1 species
CAAUAGCGUAUAAUAAAGUUGUUGCAGUUAAAAAGCUCGUAGUUGGAUUUCUGGUGGGAGCGAUCGGUCUGGCGCUUAGCGCGAGUACUUGCAUCGUCUCCGGCCAUCCUUGGGGAGAGUCUGUCUGGCAUUAAGUUGUCGGGCAGAGGAUCCUCAUCGUUUACUGUGAAAAAAUUAGAGUGUUCAAAGCAGGCUUAUGCCGUUGAAUAUAUUAGCAUGGAAUAAUAAGAUAGGACUUUGGUACUAUUUUGUUGGUUUGCGCACCAAAGUAAUGAUUAAUAGGGACAGUUGGGGGUAUUCGUAUUCCGUUGUCAGAGGUGAAAUUCUUGGAUUUACGGAAGACGAACUACUGCGAAAGCAUUUACCAAGGAUGUUUUCAUUAA